AGCAUUUUAAAUCCGUGCAGGGAUUUCGUCAGACAUCAACCCAUUAUGGAUGAUCAGACUUUCAAGAUAAGUGAAGUU
rnacentral:pre_miRNA from 1 species